rnacentral:rRNA from 1 species
GACGAACGCUGGCGGCGUGCUUAACACAUGCAAGUGGAGCGACGAACCAGGGCUUGCCCUGGGGCAGAGCCGCGAACGGGUGAGUAACACGUGGGUAACGUGCCCCAAUGAUCGGGACAACCCGGGGAAACCCGGGCUAAUACCGAAUGUGCUCCCCUCACACCAGUGAGGGGUGGAAAGGAAGCUUCGGCCUCCGCAUUGGGAUCGGCCCGCGGCCCAUUAGCUUGUUGGUGAGGUAACGGCUCACCAAGGCUGCGAUGGGUAGCUGGUCUGAGAGGACGGUCAGCCACACUGGGACGGGGGCACGGCCCAGACUCCUAAGGGAGGCAGCAGGGGGGAAUCUGGCGCAAUGCGCGAAAGCGUGACGCAGCAACGCCGCGUGGGGGAAGAAGGCCUUCGGGUUGUAAACCCCUUUCAGGAGGGACGAAGCGUGGGCGGUUAAUAGCCGGCCCACGUGACGGUACCUCCAGAAGAAGCCCCGGCUAACUACGUGCCAGCAGCCGCGGUAA